rnacentral:rRNA from 1 species
UACGUAGGGGGCAAGCGUUGUCCGGAAUCAUUGGGCGUAAAGAGCUCGUAGGCGGCUUAGUAAGUCAGGUGUGAAACCUCCAGGCUCAACCUGGAGACGCCACUUGAUACUGCUAUGGCUUGAGUUCGGUAGGGGUAAGCGGAAUUCCUGGUGUAGCGGUGAAAUGCGCAGAUAUCAGGAGGAACACCGAUGGCGAAGGCAGCUUACUGGGCCGAUACUGACGCUGAGGAGCGAAAGCGUGGGGAGCGAACAGG